CUCUCUACUCUGGGCAAUACCAGUCUGCGUAUCGUUUGGGCUCAUUGAUGUACGCAUUCUCCACGGGGAAAACCCCAGGGCCACCCGUCUCUCUACUCUGGGCAAGGCAGAGGCAGAGGGCGUGGAAAAUUCAAGGAGGUACGGGAUGGGAGGCGGCAAGAAGCGGAGCAUGGGCCGCGGCUAGAGAAGUCCGAGCGCCGCUGCCAUUUCCAAGAGUGACCAUGCCGAGAUGGCCCACAAGCAUCUGGCAAGGGAUGCAUCGGCAUCGUGGCAAAGGCAACCAUCCUGCGAUAGUUUGUUUGUUCACCAUGAUUCGGUUAUGGUUGAUGCAAGCCUAGGCUCCUCCAAAGUUCACUUUCUUGGUACAGCUUCAAUGAUGCUACAACUUUCAUUCUUGAGGUUAUUUUGUCUUUACAAUCUGUUUCUUAUACACAAUCUGUGGUAGGAAAGAACACAGCUUGAGACUUCCCAGUUAUACAAGUCUACAAUGGGCUCGAAGAAGGGUGAUAAUGUGUUUCGACAAAACUGACUACUACUCUCAGGUCCCCUUUUAUCUUUCUGUCCAUGCUCUGUUAAGUGAUCACCAACAUUAAUAUCAUCUAGAAGGACCUAAAAGUCAAAAGAUAAUUUUGAACAAAAUACAGGGCAGGUGAAUGCAAGAGGUUCCUAAUAAGAUCAUGAAACAACAAAGGUGCCACCGAUUUGCCGGCUACCAGCCCAUCUCUCCUAUUUUCUGCACUCUCUCAUUCUUUUCCUCCCUAACCGCAGGAGGACCAACAACAACGACGAAGGACGGGAGCCACCAUGGAUUUUCUAUUCAAGACCUCCUGCUGGCUCAUGCUCUGCUUCGAGGUAUUCUCAUGGCUGGCAUGAGGUACAAGCAGAUGCACUCGUGGUUGUCAGACAGGUCCUGGCAGCGGAUUGGGAACAAACCAUCGACGACAGCUACUUUGCUGACUCUGCACAUCCUCGGAAUUUCGUGUGGAAGAAGCAUGGGUAUUUCAAGCUGGAUGUCUGCUAUAUCUUGAUCUGGUAUUUCAAACAUGGGUAUUUCAAACUAGAUCUAAGUUUCUAGAGGCUUAAAAAUAUUGUGACAUAAGAGGUAUGCAUUCUCUGUGGUUUUGCAUAUGGAAGUUGUG